ensembl:lncRNA LINC02567 long intergenic non-protein coding RNA 2567
GUAAUAUGAAAAAGUUAUUUAAAUUUCAUUUCACGUUGUCCUUUUGAAUCCUCGCAUUAAUAAAAUCGUUUUCAGUGGAAAUAUCAGCAGCAAGAAAUAGAAAAUACUAACAGCAAGAUUUUUUAAUGCCCAUAAGAAGCAGCUUGGAAAUUGACACUCGGUUGCCAGGCACGUUUUACAGCUUUGCUCUUUACCAUGGACCAGAGAUAAUUUUCCUUAUGGAGAAUUUACAAGUUUCCAGAUGCAUUAUGCUGAAGAUAGCCAGGAUCCAGUACAAGGUUGGUAUCCCACUACAAAGCAAGGGCCUGCCACAACCAGAUGCAUGUUUCAACGACAUCGAAAGACUCACCUUGGACUCAUCGCUGACUUGUCAACCAGAACUCCAAUAUCUGAGUUUGUCAAGAUCUCAAAGGACGUGGAGUGCAUUUGUAUUAUCAUAUAAAGCACG